CUUCAAGGGCCUUUUGCUUUUCGUCAUUUUGGUUCUAUAAGCAAUUUCGUGCUCGAAACAGUUUUCCUGUCGCUUUACAUCGCCCUAUUCUUAUUACUUGACCCCGGUGCUGACUACGAACGAUGCGGCGUUCAAUAGGAGACAGCCUGGCACUGGAAGAACGCGACAAAAACGGGCCAAUCAGCUCCCGUUAAAGGCCAAGCAACAACCAUGCGGAAACAGAUAGGGAGAAGGCAUGUGAAUCUUUGAAGCUUCGUUUAUACGAGUACCAUCAACGGACAAAUCGAUCAGCAGAAUGAAGCAGAUAAUAAUGAAGAUAAUAACGAUGACCGCUCCUCGGCUUCAACGGCGCUGUACAGCUAUGGCCAAACUCGACAUAGUCGUACUCGACACUCAGGACGGGCAAGCGUGCAGGAAAGUCUUUCUUAACUCCACCAGCUGACCACAUUCAGGCCGUUAUCGGUUCCGACAAAAUGACAGGAAGUGGGGUCCAAUGUAGACAAUACGCCAGACCUUCUAAAACAGCAAAGACGAUAAAGGAAUCUGGAACGAAAGUAGGCGAACAAGAGAGGCCUUAGUAGGACAAUAAGAAUAAACAAAUAUAGACGAACUAUUACAGUGGAUGAGGGGAUGUACGUCUAAUUUAUAGUAGGAUACAAAUGAAUGAAAUCCUCAUCCCUGGCCGUUCCUGCUCUGGCCUGGUCUGAGGUGCUGCUAGUUCAUGAUGUGUUGUUGAUGGCGGUCUGAGCUUUAGGAUUAGAGUGAAGGGCGAGCUAAUCGAGAUACGGAUUGUGCUAGCAUUGAGGUUGAUUUCUUAAGCAGACUCAACGGCGACGAUGACGACAACGCCGGUAUCGCUUCGUUUAACUCGGCCGCAGCACCAUUAACAGUGGAUUCGCGCGUCAAUAGACGAUUUGACGAAAAUUCAAUCGAGCGUGGAAUUACCGUAGGCAUAGUAGUUCAAAUGAUGGGAAACGACUUGCCGCUGGCUACCGGUCACAAAGACAUACAACAGAAGAGAAUGACUGGGUAAAUACUGGACAAAUGCUAUUCCACCCACAGAGCUAACGACGAUACAACCAUUACGGGGUUGACUAUUUGCUAGUUCACGUUCGAGCUGACCCAGAGAUAGUGAUCUAACCGUGAAUUAACAACUCCAACUUCAUCUGGUUUAUCGAAGGAGCGGACAUUCGUCAGAAAUCUGUGUUCACUGAAAGAAGGGAGUCCAUUUUUCCUGCGCGCCCUGUCUAGUCCGUCCUCUUCUGGCCGUUUAUCCUGCUUCAUAUUCCUUUCAGCGGCCGCAAACAGGUCUCCUCUUCGCCUCUAACCUCGACCUCCGUUUACGCCACUUUCUGUGAUACAGUUGAGUGGCGUUGCUGUGUAUCGGCUGAUAGGAUGAAAGUCUGGUUGGCGGCAUCUUCUUGAUGUCUACUGCAGCCACCCAUCACAAAGACAUAUUGGUGGACCUUUUCUUAUGCCUAUUGCUUCGUUCGUCACCGGCCGAGUUUCUAUCGGUCGACCCCUGCCGGCGAACGUCACCUUCUGUGUAUUUUUCUCAUUUGUAUGGAAUUCGUCGAUGCCGUAGCACUUCGUUCUUCUUUUUCGCCUGCUAUUCCUGCUUGUAUAAUUGUAUGUUUGUGUGCUUCGACGUCGUUUGUAUAUGUCUAUCUAUGUAUGUAUGUAUGUGAUCAUCUGUACCAGAAACAAACGAGGAGCCCUUUCUCGUCCGCUACUUUCUCCCCUUGCCAUUUUCGGUGACGGGGCAGAAAAGCCAAGACGAUGAAAACGAGACGAAGGAAAGGCCCACAGAAUGGCACAGGA